GACGAACCGUGCGAACGUUGUUCGGAAUCACGUGGCUUAAAGGGAGCGUAGGCGGGCUAUCAAGUCUGGGGUGAAAUGCCGCGGCUCAACCGUGGAACUGCCUCAGAUACUGACGGCCUCGAGGGAGAUAGGGGCAUGCGGAACUGUAGGUGGAGCGGUGAAAUGCGUUGAUAUCUACAGGAACUCCGGUGGCGAAAGCGGCGUGCUGGAUCUCUUCUGACGCUGAGGCUCGAAAGCUAGGGGAGCAAACGGG
rnacentral:rRNA from 1 species